UCAAAUGUUUUUGACAACUAUUGUGUGUCUGUAUGUUCCAAUGAGAAUUCAAGAAAUAAUAAAUUAUUAAAUAAGACAUUUAAAGGUAUUAUAGUAAUCUUGGCAUCUUUAAUUAUGGUAGAUAAUUAAUAUGUUCUUUAUUAUUCCUUUAAAUAUGGGAUAUCAACAAAAUCUGUUGAAAAAAACCCUAGCCGUUUUUUUCUUUCUCUGGAAAUCAUAUUCAUGCUUCAAAAAUCACCAUCGACGUUCUCAAAAACCAUAUUCUGCCUAAUCACGUCUACAACGAUUUAUCUUCCCUCUCGUUUUCCAAGCAUUGGUCCUGCGAUUCAGAGUACAACGUCUUCCUCAAAUCAUCGAUACUCGUGUUCCUCUUUUCCACCACUAAUCGAUCCCAGGCAUUUGAGCACCAUCGUCGCAUCUCCAUGAAACACCAACACAUACUCCAUUGACGCCAUCAACGAGCGUGAUUGGUAUGACGAAGGGAGUAGUAAUUCUGUUUGGUAUGAACCAGGUUUUGAAGAGUUUGUCAUUCAAGUGGAAAAGAAAGAAAAUAUAGAGAACAAAUGUGUCUUAUAGUAGAAUAUAUUUCGCCAGAAUAUAUAAAAUGAAUCUUAGCAACAUUAUUCUUUCAGAA